AUGUGAAAGACGAUGAUGUGAGAUUCUCCAAGCACAUAUCUGAGACCGAUGUGCAGAAAUUACCAAUCCCUGAGUCUUUACCAG